rnacentral:rRNA from 1 species
AGUGAACGCUGGCGGUAGGCCUAACACAUGCAAGUCGAACGGCAGCACAGUAAGAGCUUGCUCUUACGGGUGGCGAGUGGCGGACGGGUGAGGAAUACAUCGGAAUCUACUUUUUCGUGGGGGAUAACGUAGGGAAACUUACUCUAAUACCGCAUACGCCCUACGGGUGAAAGCAGGGGAUCUUCUGACCUUGCGCGAUUGAAUGAGCCGAUGUCGGAUUAGCUAGUUGGCGGGUAAAGGCCCACCAAGGCGACGAUCCGUAGCUGGUCUGAGAGGAUGAUAGGCCACACUGGAACUGAGACACGGUCCAGACUCCUACGGGAGGCAGCAGUGGGGAAUAUUGGACAAUGGGCGCAAGCCUGAUACAGCCAUACCGAGUGGGUGAAGAAGGCCUUCGGGUUGUAAAGCCCUUUUGUUGGGAAAGAAAAGCAGCAGGUUAAUACCCCGCUGUUCUGACGGUACCCAAAGAAUAAGCACCGGCUAACUUCGUG